rnacentral:rRNA from 1 species
AUUGAACGCUGGCGACAUGCCUUACACAUGCAAGUCGAACGGCAGCACGGGUGCUUGCCCCUGGUGGCGAGUGGCGAACGGGUGAGUAAUACAUCGGAACAUGUCCUGUAGUGGGGGAUAGCCCGGCGAAAGCCGGAUUAAUACCGCAUACGAUCUACGGAUGAAAGCGGGGGACCUUCGGGCCUCGCGCUAUAGGGUUGGCCGAUGGCUGAUUAGCUAGUUGGUGGGGUAAAGGCCUACCAAGGCGACGAUCAGUAGCUGGUCUGAGAGGACGACCAGUCACACUGGGACUGAGACACGGCCCAGACUCCUACGGGAGGCAGCAGUGGGGAAUUUUGGACAAUGGGCGAAAGCCUGAUCCAGCAAUGCCGCGUGUGUGAAGAAGGCCUUCGGGUUGUAAAGCACUUUUGUCCGGAAAGAAAUCCUUGGCCCUAAUACGGUCGGGGGAUGACGGUACCGGAAGAAUAAGCACCGGCUAACUACGUG